GCUUUUGAAAGAUUAUAGAUAUCUAUUGGUCUUAGGAACCAAAAACUCUUGGUGCAACUCCAAGCAAAAGCU
rnacentral:tRNA from 1 species